CAGGACGCACCUGUGCCACAUGGGCAAAAGGACAGGAGGAAGAAGCCCGCCAUUGGAACUCAAGGCUAAAACUCUAGUAUAGCAUCGUAUUGCAUCCUGCAAAUCACAGAUGCAGGUGUGGCAUCACAUUGAGUGAGGUACUUUUAUGCGAGACGGAGUUCCUUCAAAAGAAAUUUUUACCGUAAAAUGAUGAGAAAGAGGGCAAGAAAGAAGUAAACUUCCAUUAUAUGUUAUCAUAGAUGUGAUGUCCCAAAGGGGGCAACAUUAACCCUGAACCUGUUACAGAGAUUGAGAUUAGUUUGAAGAGUCUAGAUGAAAAACCUGGGAGUUUCAAGAACAGGACUGUGCUAGCUACGGACAGUGUGGUUUCAUUAUGUAGAGGGUUGUUGAUAUGCUGGUUUAAAAAUGAUCUUACAGAAAAAAAGAAAAACGUGUUGAACUGCCCUACUAGAUAAUUAUGGUGCACAGUUCAUGGAAUGGCUUGGUGGCUGGAACUGAACUGACCAAUGUGGUGCUCCCAGCAGUGCAGUGCUACCUAUCCUCAUCUUUAUCAUAUGGACUCAAUACUGCCAUUCUCUCAAAAUUAGGUCUGACUUUAUCAAUCUGUUUACUAAAAACUUAUUCGUGGACUCGAUCCCACCCGUUUCAUCUUAGAAUUAGGUUCCACAAUAUUGAUCAUCUUACUAAAUGCCUAUUCAUGACCUCAGUCCCACCAUUCUUGUCUUAAAUUUAGGUCCCACUUUAUUGAUGGGUUUACUAAAUGCCUGUGGACUCGUUCCCACCAUUCUCGUCUUAAAAUUAGGUCCGUGUAUAUGUAUCGGUUUACUGAUUGGCUAUUCAUGGAUGCAAUCCCACCAUUCUUGUCUUAAAAUUAGGUCUGUCUCUAUGGAUCGGUUUUCUGAUCGACUAUUCAUGGACGCGAUCCCAUCAUUCUCGUCUUAAAAUAAGGUCCAUCUACAUGGAUCAACUUACUGAUAGGCUAUUCAUGGACGCGAUCCCACCAUUCUUGUUUUAAAAUUAGGUCUGACUAUAUGGAUCGACUUACUGAUUGGCUAUUUAUGGACGCAAUUCCACCAUUCUCAUCUAAGAAUUGUCUGAUUGUAUCAAUGAGUUUACUAAAAGCUUAAUCAUGGAAUCGUUCCCACCAUUCUCGUCUUAAAAUUAGGUCCGUCUCUAUGGAUUGGUUUACUGAUAGAUUAUUCAUGGACGCAAUCCCACCAUUCUUGUUUUAAAACUAGGCCUGUCUAUAUGGAUCAGUUUACUGAUCGCCUAUUUAUGGACGCGAUCCCACCAUUCUCGUUUUAAAAUUAGGUCCAUCUCUAUGGAUCGGUUUACUGAUAGAUUAUUCAUGGACGCAAUCCCACCAUUCUUGUUUUAAAACUAGGUCUGUCUAUAUGGAUCGGUUUACUGAUCGGCUAUUUAUGGACGCGAUCCCACCAUUCUCGUCUUAAAAUUAGGUCCGUCUCUAUGGAUCGGUUUACUGAUCGGCUAUUCAUGGACGCAAUCCCACCAUUCUCAUCUAAGAAUUAUGUCUGUCUAUCGAUGAGUUACCUAAACACCUAUUUGUGGACUCCAUCCCACCACUCUCAUCUUAGAAUUAUGACAAACUAAAUCGAUGGUUUACUGAAUUCCAAUUCAUAGACUCAACCCCACCAUUCUGGCCUUAGAAUUAGGUCCAAGUAUGUAGUAUACAUGUAUUCAGUAUACCAAAAGCCUACUCAUUGACUCGAUUUCACAAUUCUGAUCUUAGAAUAAGGUCCGACUUUAUGGAUCAGUUACCUAAAUGCCUUAAUUAGUUACAGUUGACAAAGUUCAUUAGUGCUGGUGGUUUUUACUUUGGUAUUUUUCUCGCUGUAUUUACAAUAUAUUUCUUUAGGGAGUGUGUUAUGUAUCUGCGGUAUGACAGUGGUUUUAUGUAAUUAAGUUUUAAUUGCAAUUCAAUACAAAAAGACUAUUUAACAGAAGCAAGCUUCAAUUGCUUUGCCUUCUAGGUCAACCAUUGGAAAUUAAGGCUUCGUUCACUUGAAAAAUCUAUUUUAUAAAAAUCUAUUUUACUAUUCAUGGU